rnacentral:rRNA from 1 species
ACGUAGGGUGCGAGCGUUGUCCGGAAUUAUUGGGCGUAAAGAGCUUGUAGGCGGUUUGUCGCGUCUGCUGUGAAAUUUCGGGGCUUAACCCCGAACUUGCAGUGGGUACGGGCAGACUAGAGUGUGGUAGGGGAGACUGGAAUUCCUGGUGUAGCGGUGAAAUGCGCAGAUAUCAGGAGGAACACCGGUGGCGAAGGCGGUUCUCUGGGCAUGUCCUGACGCUGAGGAGCGAAAGUGUGGGGAGCGAACAGGA